GUGCUCGCUUCAGCAGCAUAUAUACUAAAAUUGGAAGGAUACAGAGAAGAUUAGCAUGGCCUCUGUGCAAGGAUGACACGCAAAUUUGUGAAGCGUUCCAUAUUUUU
rnacentral:snRNA from 1 species